GGAGAAGUGUCCGAGAGGCUGAAGGUGACAGUCUCGAAAACUGUUGUGGUUAAUAGCCACCGAGGGUUCGAAUCCCUCCUUCUCCG
rnacentral:tRNA from 1 species